rnacentral:rRNA from 1 species
UACGUAGGGUGCAAGCGUUAAUCGGAAUUACUGGGCGUAAAGCGUGCGCAGGCGGUUGUGCAAGACAGAUGUGAAAUCCCCGGGCUUAACCUGGGAACUGCAUUUGUGACUGCACGGCUAGAGUGUGUCAGAGGGGGGUAGAAUUCCACGUGUAGCAGUGAAAUGCGUAGAUAUCAGGAGGAAUACCGAUGGCGAAGGCAGGUCUCUGGGCUGACACUGACGCUCAUGCACGAAAGCGUGGGGAGCAAACAGG